CAGCUGGCUGAGGUCGGCGCUGCGCAGACUAGCCCUCAGUGAACGGAGGUGAAGGAGGCGUGUGACACUCCCGCUGCAUCGCCCUCACUUGGCCGAGAACAACCCCAGUGUGUGUCGGUGGUCCCAACAACAGCAGCCGUGCCCCGCCGCGCCCCAACCGCCAGCGGUGCCGUCAUGUGGCAAGAGGCCCGCAAACACGAGCGCAAGCUCCGUGGUAUGAUGGUGGACUACAAACGCCGAGGAGAGCGCCGACGAGAAUACUACGAGAAGAUCAAAAAAGAUCCAGCUCAGUUUCUCCAGGUCCAUGGUCGAGCCUACAAGAUCCACCUGGAUCCUGCUGUGGCGUUAGCAGCUGAGAGCCCCAUCAACAUGAUGCCAUGGCAAGGAGAUGCCAACAACAUGAUUGACAGGUUUGAUGUAAGAGCUCAUCUGGACUACAUCCCCACCUACACACCUCCUCUGCUCAACACUUCCACCCAAGAGCAGGAAAUGGAGGAGAGAAAGUGUAACUAUGAACGCUACAGAGGCCUCGUGCAGAAUGACUUUGCAAACAUCUCUGAGGAGCAAUGUUUAUAUCAGAUCUAUCUGGAUGAACUUUACGGUGGCCUGCAGAAACCAAAUGAGGACGAGAAGAAAAAGCUGGCUGAGAAAAAGGCCACCAUUGGAUACACAUAUGAAGACAGCACGGUGACAGAGCCUGACCCCCAGUCAGACAAAGAUGAAGAGAACUCAGAGAACAGUGAAUCCGAAGAGGAUGAGGGAAUCCCCGAUAUUGAUGUGGAGGUUGAUGUUGAUGAGCUGAACCAGGAACAGGAGUUGGACCUAAACAAGAUAGCGACACCAUAUGGAAUGGCUGAAGGAGACUUUGUCAGGAUGUUGAGGAAAGACAAGGAGGAAGUGGAAGCCAUUAAACAUGCCAAGGCUCUGGAGGCUGAGAAGGCCAUGUACUCUGGCCGACGUUCUCGCAGACAAAGGAGAGAGUUCAGAGAGAAGAGGCUUAAAGGUCGACAGAUCAGUCCACCAAGCUAUGCCAGGAGAGACAGCCCAACAUAUGAUCCCUACAAACGACCAGAGUCAGAAUCCAGCUCUGAGUCGCGGUCACGUUCCAGAUCUCCUGGCCCAGAGAAGAUCACCUUUAUCACCAGCUUCGGAGGCAGUGACGAGGAAGCUGCAGCAGCAACUCAAACACCCGCUCCUCACUCUGGCCACCCCCCCUCCAACUUGCAGCACCCCGCAGGUCAUAGCAGGGGCUCCCGGAGACGAAGGUCAUCAUCCAGUCGCUCCCCCUCCUCCUCCUCCCGCUCCUCAUCUCGGUCUUCCUCACGUUCAUCUUUCCGCUCGCGCCGAGCCCGACGAGGACGUGGGGCGAGGGAUGGGCGUCGCUCCCGAAGCCACUCCCGAUCAAGACGGCGUUCCAGAUCUCACUCCAGAAGUAGAGGAGGGAAUGGAGGAGCCGUAUCUUGGAGGAGACGUGACCGGACACGAUCACGAUCACGGUCUAACGACCGAGACAGAGAUCGGGAGAGAGACAGGGAUAGGAGACGAUACCCGGCACGCAGGCGAACAAGGUCGCGUUCCAGCUCACGGCAGGGGGGCAGUUCCAGGCGAGGGGGCCGGAGCAGUGGAGACCACCGACGGGUAGACAGUGGCAGCCGCAGCCCCUCUCAGUCCCCUGGCCGCCCAAACCACAGUCCCUCCCCUGCUCACAGAGGGGCCCAGCCCUCUACCACCUCUAUCGCUGACAAGCUAAGAAAGCCUGAUACUGCGGGUGGUAAAGAGACGGGAGCUGCCAAAGUCACCCAAGAUGACGCCACAGGAGCGACUGAAGCUAAAAAUGCAGAAGGCGCUCAACAGGCAGUCCAAGGCGGAUAAAAAAGCUGCUCAGGUGAAGGUCCAGCAGCAGGAGAACAAACGUCAGGAGCGAGAGGGAGAAUUAAGAGCCAUGGCACGCAAGAUACGCAUGAACGGUUCUGUGUGUAGGGAGCGUGAGCGCCGUGAGAAAGAGAGAGAUGAAUGGGAAAGACAGUACGGGAGACAAAGCCACUCGCCUUCACCUUCCAAAUAUGGCCGAGAACACAACUCACACAGAAGGAGGUCACGGUCUCGAUCACGGAGUCCUCCCUACAGAUACUGAGCUCACACACGCAGAAGAUGGGCAUAGAUGAAACGAUAAAUCACGAACCUCGGAUACUGUCAGAGGGUAAAACAUUGAUCUGAUACCUUAGUUUCACUGAUCGCACAGCUGAUUGGAUCAGCCGAGAUGACUUUGAUCUGCCAUUUUCAGUUUUGCUUCAUCUUGUAAAGAAUCAUCUUAUUAAAUGAGUUUCUUCUCCUCGG